UUUUCUUAGAUUAACAUUACUGAAUGUUUGGGGAUAUAAUUUAUGCAAUCAUCACUUAUACACAUGCGGGAUCUUAAGUGUGAUUAUUUGGUGGCCGCAUCAAAUUGUGGAGGAAACUGACAAAACCAUUCAAUUCCCUUUCAAGAAGUGCCCAUUUUUCGUUCAAAAGUGACAAUCAUAACCAGUUGAGAUAGAAUCAUAUAUAUGUCGGGGAAUAAUGACAUUUAGAAUAAAUGAGUUUCAAAAAACUAUAUUUCUUCUGGUUGAUUGUUACAUGCUUAUGUGCAUCAGUUCUAAAGCAAUGGUUGUUGGGAGGCUACACUCAUAUGAGUUACAAGCCAGUGGUGUCUGUGACGAUAAAUAUCAAGUGAGUUUAUGAUACGGGCAAUGGAAUUUUAAAUGUGUG
rnacentral:lncRNA from 1 species